CAGCCCGUGGGCUGACAGCCGGCGGCGGGGGCGGGGGCGGGGCGAGCGGUGGCGCGCGGGCUGAGCGCCGACGGCAGCGGUAGGCGGCGGCGGCGGCGGCAGGGCGACGCCUACUAGGUGUUCGACGAAAUGCCAACAAGGAACGUGGUGGCGUGGAGCUAGCCAAUCUAGCUAAAGACUUUCACACCCACUUCAGCUCCUAUAGGAGCUAGCUCUCACUAGAGUUGGAGUUGGAGUUGGGAGCUGGGAGUUGGAGUUUGGAGCUCUACUAAACGGGGCCGUAGCUGGAAGUGCUUGUUGCCUUCAGAACUCCGAUGCCCGCCGCCGCCGCCGCCGCGAGACUGCGCCGCCGCGGCCACCGCCGGAAGAAGUUCGUGUACAGACCGAAGCCACCGCCGGAGCCGCACCCAUUCCUCCUCCACCUCAAGUCGCUCCCGUCCCCCGUCGCCGCCGCGGCCGCGCUCCUCUCCGCGCCGAGGCGCCUCCACGACCACCCCUUCGCCGCCUGCGUGCUCUACCGCCUCGCCCGCGCGCGCCUCUUCCCGCUCGUGCCCCCGCUCCUCGCCGCGCUGCACUCCCGCGGCGCGCCGCUCCGUCCCACCGUGUUCGCCGCCGUCAUCGACCACCUCGGCGCCGCUUCCCGCCCCGACGCCGCGGUCGGCGUCUUCCGCACCGUCCCGGCCUUCUGCUCCCACUCCGCCGCCACAUUCCAUUCCCUCCUCAACGCCCUUGUGUCCAAUGGCCGCACGGAUGCCGCCCGGGACAUGCUCCCGCUCGCCCCGAAGCUCGGCGUCCGCCUCAACGCCGUGUCGUACAACAUCAUCCUCAAGGGCGCGUGUCUCCGGGACGGGUUCAUGGGCGCCCGCGGCGUGCUCGACGAAAUGCUCAGCCGGGGUGUGCGACCGACGGUGGUCACCUUCAACACGCUGGUGGGGUCGGCGUGCCGGGAGGGUGAGCUGGGCGCGGCGGAGCGGCUCAUCGACGAGAUGGCGCGCCGUGGCGUGGCGCCAAACGCGGCCACCUACGCCCUCCUGAUGCGGGGGCUCUGCGACGCCGACCGCCACGCCGACGCCGAGAAGCUGAUGUUCGACAUGGAGUACCGCGGGUGCCAGGCCGACGUGGUGAACUACGGCGUGCUGAUGAGCUCCCGCGCGAGGCACGGCGACGCCGACGGCGUCAGGGAGCUCCUCUCCGCCAUGCGCAAGCGGAAGCUCAAGCCCGACGACGCGAGCUACAACAUCCUGAUCAGGUGCCUGUGCGACGCCGGCAGGGCCGACGAGGCGCACAGGGCGCUGCUCGAGAUGCAGCUCAGGGGCACCGUGCCGGGCGCCGCCACGUACCGCGUCCUCGUCGACGGGUGCUGCAGGGCUCGCGACUUCGACCUGGGUCUACGGGUCUUCAACGCGAUGAUGGCGAGCGGACACUGCCCCCAAGCUCGCACCUUCAGGCACCUUGCGAGAGGGCUCGGCGAGGACGGCAAGGCGGAGGAGGCGUUCUUCGUCUUGGAGCAGAUGGCGAGGAGGGAGAUGAGCUUGGAUGCAGAUGGGUGGCAAGCUGUUGUCACGUGCGUUCGCAGCAGCUGCAGCACCCAGACAUACGGAGUACCUGGAUUCUGGGCAACAGGCGAAAGAUGUAAACCAUACAACUGAAGUGAUUUUGAAAGUAUUUUCAUGCCAGCAAGCAAAUGAUUAGUGAUUAAGGUCAACCCUGGAACAGCCAGAAUUCGGACAGAUGGAUUAUUAAUCCAGGUUUUAUCACUUGCUGGCGAACCGUUUUUCGCGGAAGAAGCAAUCUGUUUGUCCAUUCAAAAUGGAGUAAUUUUACAAUCUUCAAAGAGAUACCGAGAGAAGCAGACAUCCGGGCCACAACACAGGAAAUUCAAAGACUCAGAGAGCAAAAGAGCCUACAACUCCAACUUGAGACAUUUCUCAACAGAUUUCUGGCUUUCUGCAUUCCAGCAGAUCAAAAGGCUUCAGCCCAAGCGAUCCAACUCCCGCUUCACAAGACAACUCCAUCUUGACCCAACAGAACUCCACCACAUGCAUCUUGCUGAUGACAGUGCAGUGCUGUAGACUUCAGUACUUCCGCACAUUGUUCCAGUUUGAUUCGAUCCUCCUGGCUUUGUAAACCUGCCAAAUAAGAGAGAAACAGAUGAAAAACGCCAUCUAAGUAGAAUUGAUCUUCUUUAUCCAUCAAAACAUAUUCCGGGCAUCCCAGAGGGCCCAACACACGGCGGCCAAUCCCACAAUGUGAUUUUUUUUUUCUAUUUGGUAUAUAAACAUUAGCCCAGAUAAAAAAAUUGCUCGAAAGAGUUGGAACGACAUUGAGCUCCAAACACAUAAAUAUAUUAUUAUGAUCCGACCUUAGAUCCUUAUAUUGUGUUUUCACACCCAUAUUGUGCUACAUUUUGCUAGGAAUGAGCUCACCAUUUAUUGGGUGAAGAUUUGCUGCCAUUAUAUUGGCAAAAGCAAAGCUUUGCUAGACCAACAUCUACUCCAAAUGUAACGGUGCGGUGCAACAAAAUUUACCUGAGUUUUGUUUUCCAA